AUUGAACGCUGGCGGCAUGCUUUACACAUGCAAGUCGAACGGCAGCGCGGGCUUCUUCCUGGCGGCGAGUUUCGAACGGGUGAGUAAUUCAUCGGAACGUGCCCAGUAGUUGGGGAUAGCCCGGCGAAAGCCGGAUUAAUACCGCAUACGACCUGAUGUUGAAAGCGGGGGACCGAAAGGCCUCGCGCUAUUUGAGCGGCCGAUGUCGGAUUAGCUAGUUGGUGGGGUAAAGGCUUACCAAGGCGACGAUCCGUAGCUGUUCUGAGAGGACGACCAGCCACACUGGGACUGAGACACGGCCCAGACUCCUACGGGAGGCAGCAGUGGGGAAUGUUGGACAAUGGGGGCAACCCUGAUCCAGCCAUGCCGCGUGCGGGAAGAAGGCCUUCGGGUUGUAAAACGCUUUUGUUCGGGAAGAAAUACUCUGGGCUAAUACACCGGGGGGAUGACGGUACCGGAAGAAUAAGCACCGGCUAACUACGUG
rnacentral:rRNA from 1 species